UGUCGUCAGCUCGUGUUGUGAAAUGUUGGGUUAAGUCCCGCAACGAGCGCAACCCUUAUCCUUUGUUGCCAGCGGUCCGGCCGGGAACUCAAAGGAGACUGCCAGUGAUAAACUGGAGGAAGGUGGGGAUGACGUCAAGUCAUCAUGGCCCUUACGACCAGGGCUACACACGUGCUACAAUGGCGCAUACAAAGAGAAGCGACCUCGCGAGAGCAAGCGGACCUCAUAAAGUGCGUCGUAGUCCGGAUUGGAGUCUGCAACUCGACUCCAUGAAGUCGG
rnacentral:rRNA from 1 species